rnacentral:misc_RNA from 1 species
CAAACCCCUCACCACCCAUCAGAUCACGCAAGCAUCUCCAUUUUGUUCUCUCUUUCUCUCUCGAACGCACACACACACACACAUACAUAGGUACGCCCAAGGACAACGACAGCCCCUCCGCGCAGCCAUGACCGCUCUCAUCACGAAGCAACGGUACAACUGGAUGGGGUACGAUGGUAUCGAGUCGGUGGAAUGUGACACGGCUCUCCUGCGCUCCGAUGUCAGUUCGGCGAACAACUACAACUACAUGCAUCGCCAGCAAGUGAUUAUGGAGCUGAAGGAGCGCCUGUACCGCAUCAAGCGUGAUCUCGGCCUCAUCCCCGAGGAGGAGCUGCGCGCUGAGGAGGAGGCCCUCCAGCGCCGUCGCAUGGAGAAGAAGCGUCGCGAGGCAGAAGAGCGCAUGCGCAAGGAGGCCGAGGAGGCCGCCCGUGCCGAGGAGAUGGAACGCCGGCGUCUGGAGCUUGAGGAGGCCGAGGAGAGGGCCAGCGCCCAGGAGGCCGCGGCCCAAGCCAGUGCCGAGCGCAAGCGCUACAUGGACGACAGCGACGAGGAUAGCGACGGGGAGAACGGCAUCGAUGAUGAGCAGAGUGCCAGCCUCGUAGCUAUGCUCCGCACGCAGGCGGAAAUCAACAGCGCCAUCGUGGGCUUUACCAAGGGUACCCGUAUGCUGCUCGCCUCCUCCGGCAACGGCUACAUCAGUUACCUCGACGGGAGCAUGCACUUCACAAUCGCCAAGGUCGAGAAGUACAAUGCCUCCAAGCGCGAGAGGGUGAUGGAGGCGCUGGCCGGCACCAACGUUGCCGUGCCUACCGCCGAGGAGUACUCGCUGGAGGAGGUGCGGCAGGCAAUGAACGCCUGCGACACAGCGCGUAAGAAGCUGGACGUCCUUCGCGCUCUCCAGGAUCCCACGUACACGGCGCGCAUCCGCUCGGCCGAGAAGGACACUUACGGCACCCCGGUGCAGCAACUGACGGAGGAGGACGGCGACAUGUCUGCCCUGGUCGCCAACUGCGAGGACGCGAAGCGGUUUGCAGAGAGUGUGCGCAAGGCGUACAACAAGAAGGCUGCGGCGAGCGGUCACGCCCUUGCGUGCGCGCUCUGCAUGUGCCCCUUCACUGCCGAGCAGGAAAGUACAAGCGAGGCCCAGGCCGCUGCUGGGGAAGAGAGGGCCAACGCAGAAGAGAAGGUGUCGAAGACCGCUGGCACGAAGUCGCCCUCAUCGUCGGCGAUGUCGGCGCAGUAGGGCGCUGAUGCCGGUCUCGCCGCUAUCGCACCCGGUGGCGCGGGGCAGGGCAUGAUAGGAAUAGGAGAAGGGGCCCUAAGAAGGUCAUGCACACGGCAACCGAUGAAGCGCUUCUCGUGUGGGGCUGAGGGAGGUCGAAUGAGCAACAAGGUACACACAGCCGUGCACAUGCCCACUCAAAUGGACGCACCACGGGACAGCAGGGUGGGUCGGAGAGGUUGGUCUGCGAGUAGUGUGAGGCGUGUAAGAAAAGGAGCUGCUGCGUGCACACACGGGCACGUGCCUCGCGCGCGCAUACGCGUGUGUGUCGCUCUGUUGUGACCUUUCUCCCUCACAUGAGUCCAGCUCGCCACUCCACUUGCACGGCGCAUGUGUCUUCAUGGCCGCAUCCCCUACUGCAAUGCCCUCAUCCCACCUCGGUUCUAUGCGCGGAGGUGGGCAACUGUGCGGAAGUGCAUGGGUAUGCAUGGUGACGCACUCGCUCGCGACUGUCGUGGCGGUCAUUGCCCUUGUCAUGUGCCUUUGUCGCUGCCGGUUGCGUCUCGCGACGGGAGGAAGCGCAUGCGCGCGCGAACGCAGACAUUACGCGUGCAACCUGCGCCGUAUUUGUGCCCUCUUCUUUGCUCGCUCCUUUCUCUCUCUUUCUCCCUUGGCUUGGAUCCUUUUCAUUUCCCUUCCGUCUCGUGUCAUGUGCGGCGCGUCUUUUUGCUGCCUCGCGGCGCUUCAAACAGCAGAGGGGGACGGUGAAGCGAAGUGCCGCCGCGGCAAGGUACAGGCACGUUGCGAUGCACAGAGAGGAGAGAGGGAGAAACCCAGAUAUCGUUCCACCCCUAGGCGCGCCCACAACCGGCAGCACUCCCUCACCGAUGAACGUGGCGGAGGCAGCAGGAAACCGCCCGACAAGGUAGCGAGGGCCACAGCGGGAAGCCAACCGUGAGAGCACGCAAGCAAGGAACCAACGAUGGUGUAGUGCCCCUCAUCUGUGUUAUCUUUUUACUUUGUUAUCUUCUCCGAUUCCAGGAAACCAACAGCGGAAAUAAGAAGCGAACCACAUUCCGAAAGCGAGGACCUGUCAGCACGCGUGUAUCGCUCGCAUCCACUACGCACACACACACACACAUACGCUCACACUUUUCGAUUUUAUCUUCCACCCCACCUGUACGUCCUCCCCUCCUUUGUGUUUCUUUCUUUCUCUAUGUGUUUUUGUUUUUAUUCUGUUGGCGUGUGUGUGUGUGUGUGUGUGGUUGUGUGUGUAGUGGACGAGAUCCGUUCUUUUCCUCCUGCCAUGGUGUGUGUGUGCGCGCGCAGUUGUCUUGGUGAUUACGUCUGGGUGUUUCUGCGAUCCCCAAUUUGAAGAGUGGAAGUGGGGAGGGGCACAGGGCACAUCGUCCUUGUCUCUGUUCUUCUCUGCGUGAUCGAGCGUGUCUGUGCACACGCGCAUGUGUGCAUCCGCCGCUUCCUCUGCGUCUUCCUCGUAUCUUCAUGUCGGCCUCUCGUAGGACAGAAAGCGCUCGACGGGCCAAGCAAAGUGCAACGAAAGAAUCCUGCGCGUGUGCGGAGAUCACCAGAGAACGCAUGUGGGGCAUCCCGGUCGCUGGCGCGGCGUGCCGGCUUGCUCUUCUCUGUAGCGACAUCAAGGAGAGGUAGAGACGAUGGUGUGCGCAGAGACCGACAGAGAGAGGGUGCUAGAAGACGUGAGAACGAGCAAGAGAGGAUAGCAGAUCGUUGCUCUCCUCUCCCCCUUCCCGCCAUCGGAUGCUGCGCCUCUCUCUACGACUUAUUCAUCAUACAUGAAGCCCCCUCCCCCGCUGCAACCUCGAUGGCAACGUCACCACAUACGGCACACAUCCCUUUUCGCUCGCUCUCGCUCCCUUGCCUUCACCCACCCCCCUCUCUGUCGCUCGCUCGCUCUCUUCGUUG